rnacentral:rRNA from 1 species
GAUGAACGCUAGCGGCGGGCCUAAUACAUGCAAGUUGAACGAGAUUGUUGGUAGCAAUACUGACAUGAAAGUGGCGCACGGGUGCGUAACACGUAUGUAACCUACCUUUAACUGGGGCAUAGCUUCGAGAAAUCGAAAUUAAUACCCCAUAACAUUUAGAAAAGGCAUCUUUUCUUUAUCAAAGUUCCGGCGGUUAAAGAUGGACAUGCGGUGCAUUAGCUUGUUGGUGAGGUAACGGCUCACCAAGGCUACGAUGCAUAGGGGGUCUGAGAGGAUGAUCCCCCACACUGGUACUGAGACACGGACCAGACUCCUACGGGAGGCAGCAGUAGGGAAUAUUGGGCAAUGGACGAAAGUCUGACCCAGCCACGCCGCGUGAAGGAUGACUGCCCUAUGGGUUGUAAACUUCUUUUGUAUGGGAAGAAAAUUCCGAACGUGUUCGGAGCUGACGGUACCAUAAGAAUAAGCAUCGGCUAACUCCGUG